UCAGGCCUAACACAUGCAAGUCGAACGGUAACAGGAAUAGCUUGCUAUUUGCUGACGAGUGGCGGACGGGUGAGUAAUGCUUGGGAAUUUGCCUUUUGGAGGGGGAUAACAGUUGGAAACGACUGCUAAUACCGCAUGAUACCUACGGGUCAAAGGGGGCUUUUAGCUCUCGCCGAAAGAGAAGCCCAAGUGAGAUUAGUUAGUUGGUGGGGUAAUGGCCUACCAAGACGACGAUCUCUAGCUGUUCUGAGAGGAAGAUCAGCCACACUGGGACUGAGACACGGCCCAGACUCCUACGGGAGGCAGCAGUGGGGAGUAUUGCACAAUGGGGGCAACCCUGAUGCAGCCAUGCCGCGUGUGUGAAGAAGGCCUUCGGGUUGUAAAGCACUUUCAGUUGUGAGGAAAGGGUGAUAGUUAAUACCUGUCAUCUGUGACGUUAGCAACAGAAGAAGCACCGGCUAACUCCGUGCCAGCAGCCGCGGUAAUACGGAGGGUGCGAGCGUUAAUCGGAAUUACUGGGCGUAAAGCGCACGCAGGCGGUUAGGUCAGUCAGAUGUGAAAGCCCCGGGCUUAACCUGGGAAUAGCAUUUGAUACUACCUGACUAGAGUUUUGGAGAGGGGAGUGGAAUUCCAGGUGUAGCGGUGAAAUGCGUAGAUAUCUGGAGGGAACAUCAGUGGCGAAGGCGACUCCCUGGUCAAA
rnacentral:rRNA from 1 species